UUUUGUUCAACACAUAUAUAACUUGAGUUCAACAUUUUUUUAACAUAUUUUGUUGAACAUCUAUUAAAAUAGUGGUGGUGAAGUACAUAAACCAAUUUUUAAAUGUAAGAACUAAGGUAAACGUGUUAUAUAACUAAUAUUUAUGUUUCUAGACCCUACCCAAACCCCAGAGGUAUAGUUUAAACAACUUUUUAGAUAUAUUCAACACAAUGAUAAUUAGUGUUCAACACCCGAUGUUGAACCCCAGUUAUAAAUAUGUUGAAAACGCGAUUUAUUUAUGCGUUAUUUUUAAAAAUUGUGAUGUUUUUUGAAGAAUUUUCAACAUGGAUACUUUAUAUAACUAAGGAUUAACACGAUGGAAGAAUAAAAAAAAGUUUGUAAGUUUGUAACUUAAAAAAGUUUUUAUUUGAUCCUAUCCCUA
rnacentral:lncRNA from 1 species